AUUGAACGCUGGCGGCAUGCCUUACACAUGCAAGUCGAACAGCAGCACGGGCUUCGGCCUGGUGGCGAGUGGCGAACGGGCGAGUAAUACAUCGGAACGUGCCCUGUCGUGGGGGAUAACUAGUCGAAAGAUUAGCUAAUACCGCAUACGACCUGAGGGUGAAAGCGGGGGACCGGUAACGGCCUCGCGCGAUAGGAGCGGCCGAUGUCUGAUUAGCUAGUUGGUGGGGGAAGAACCCACCAAGGCGACGAUCAGUAGCUGGUCUGAGAGGACGGUCAGCCACACUGGGACUGAGACACGGCCCAGACUCCUACGGGAGGCAGCAGUGGGGAAUUUUGGACAAUGGGGGCAACCCUGAUCCAGCAAGGCCGCGUGUGUGAAGAAGGCCUUCGGGUUGUAAAGCACUUUUGUCCGGAAAGAAAUCGCGCUGGUUAAUACCUGGCGUGGAUGACGGUACCGGAAGAACAAGCACCGGCUAACUACGUGCCAGCCGCCGCCGUAAUAC
rnacentral:rRNA from 1 species